rnacentral:rRNA from 1 species
GAUGAACGCUGGCGGCGUGCCUAAUACAUGCAAGUCGAGCGAACAGACGAGGAGCUUGCUUUUCUGAUGUUAGCGGCGGACGGGUGAGUAACACGUGGAUAACCUACCUAUAAGACUGGGAUAACUUCGGGAAACCGGAGCUAAUACCGGAUAAUAUAUUGAACCGCAUGGUUCAAAAGUGAAAGACGGUCUUGCUGUCACUUAUAGAUGGAUCCGCGCUGCAUUAGCUAGUUGGUAAGGUAACGGCUUACCAAGGCAACGAUGCAUAGCCGACCUGAGAGGGUGAUCGGCCACACUGGAACUGAGACACGGUCCAGACUCCUACGGGAGGCAGCAGUAGGGAAUCUUCCGCAAUGGGCGAAAGCCUGACGGAGCAACGCCGCGUGAGUGAUGAAGGUCUUCGGAUCGUAAAACUCUGUUAUUAGGGAAGAACAUAUGUGUAAGUAACUGUGCACAUCUUGACGGUACCUAAUCAGAAAGCCACGGCUAACUACGUG